UACGUAGGGUGCAAGCGUUAAUCGGAAUUACUGGGCGUAAAGCGUGCGCAGGCGGUUAUAUAAGACAGAUGUGAAAUCCCCGGGCUCAACCUGAGAACUGCAUUUGUGACUGUAUAGCUAGAGUACGGUAGAGGGGGAUGGAAUUCCGCGUGUAGCAGUGAAAUGCGUAGAUAUGCGGAGGAACACCGAUGGCGAAGGCAAUCCCCUGGACCUGUACUGACGCUCAUGCACGAAAGCGUGGGGAGCAAACAGG
rnacentral:rRNA from 1 species